rnacentral:rRNA from 1 species
AUUGAGCGCUGGCGGCAUGCCUAACACAUGCAAGUCGAACGGGGCAGCAAUGCCUAGUGGCGGACGGGUGAGGAAUACGUAGGAAUCUGCCCUUAAGUGGGGGAUAACCAGGGGAAACCCUGACUAAUACCGCAUGAUCUCUUCGGAGCAAAGAGGGGGACCGCAAGGCCUCUCGCUUCUGGAUGAGCCUACGUCUGAUUAGCUAGUUGGUAGGGUAAAGGCCUACCAAGGCGACGAUCAGUAACUGGUCUGAGAGGAUGAUCAGUCACACCGGAACUGAGACACGGUCCGGACUCCUACGGGAGGCAGCAGUGGGGAAUAUUGGACAAUGGGCGCAAGCCUGAUCCAGCAAUGCCGCGUGUGUGAAGAAGGCCUUCGGGUUGUAAAGCACUUUAGCCUGGAAAGAAAAAACUUUGGUUAACACCCAAAGUCUUGACGGUACCAGGAGAAUAAGCACCGGCUAACUCUGUGCCAGCAGCCGCCGUAA